UACGUAGGGGGCAAGCGUUAUCCGGAAUUACUGGGUGUAAAGGGAGAGUAGGCGGCAAGGUAAGCGAUAUGUGAAAGCCUUAGGCUUAACCUGAGGAUUGCAUAACGAACUAUCUAGCUAGAGUACAGGAGAGGAAAGCGGAAUUCCUAGUGUAGCGGUGAAAUGCGUAGAUAUUAGGAAGAACACCAGUGGCGAAGGCGGCUUUCUGGACUGAAACUGACGCUGAGGCUCGAAAGCGUGGGUAUCGAACAGG
rnacentral:rRNA from 1 species